AAAGUAUUUUCAUAUCAUCACUGGAAAGAUUUCAGCUCAUAAAUGAUUUAGGUGAAUUUGGAAAGCAGGGGAGUUAUAUCAGUGCUUCAGUUGAUCAAGAACAAGGCAACAUUACUCCUAGCGAAAAAGGCACAAAGAGAUAUCUUUACCUAUCAACUCUUACCAACCCACCACUGGACUUUACCUAUCACUGUGAAAGAAGCUUACAAUCGACGGAGAGGAAGUGAAUCACCAUCGAAGGCAGAACAAAGCUCCAAAAAGCUCUUCGCAUUCCUGAAGGAAGAACAAAGCUCUUCGCAUUCCUUUCAUUUUUUCUCCACCAUCACCGGUUGAGACACCAUUGACCUUCAACCGCUAAUUAUGGACAACAUUACUAUUUUUGGUCACAUGGAUGGAGACCUACGUCGAACUGUAAUACUGAUUCCUUUUACUCAUUUUCUUACAUGUAUAAUUUUUUUAUUUUUUUUACCUCUAAUUCUUUUGUAUUUUUAGGUCCAAUUUCUUCAAGAAAGAAAUGUUAAUGUUGUUAUCCGUGAUGAGCGUGACCUUAAUGUCAUCCGUGUUUGAGAGGCAAAAGAAAAGGAAAUUGCCAAGGCAUUGUUGAAGAAAAACGAAAAGACCACCGUUUCGGGCAAAGGAAAGGAAAAUGCAUGUUCAGUAGCACAUAACAAUAAUGUUAUAUCGAAAGCUGCAUUGGCUCAACGUGCAUGGCGAGAACGCGAAAGAAAUGAUAAGGCAAGCUCUUCAUAUCAAUUGGGACAACGUUCGCGACGUGAACGAGAGAGAUCGAGAGAAUUGAUUCCACCAAGCACAACUAAUACUCCACCGGCUCAGAAAGGAGUAAUGUUUACACAUCUGCCUUCGCCAAGCACAUCUUUAGCUUCACAAAGGAAUUGGCCUACUCAUGCAAGCCCAUUCCUCCAUGAGACUAGGAAUAUCGAUGUUGUUAUUCGUAAUGAGUGCAAUCUUAAUAUUAUCCGCAAUUCUAAGGCAAAGGAAAAGGAAAAGGCCAAGGCAAUGUCUAAAGGAAAAGAAAAGGCAACUUCUUUUGACAAAGAAAAGGAAAACGCAUGUCCAAUGGUAUAUAUUCAACAUCUUUAAAAAAAUAUUUAUCGAGUAAAACAAAGCCAAUCAUAUUGUUUAAGUGAACAUUGAUCAUGUAUAUUUUUUAAAAUGUAAACUGUGUUGUCAA